rnacentral:siRNA from 1 species
GGCAAUUACUGUCUGCUGGGUCCA